rnacentral:tRNA from 1 species
UCAACUUUGGGGCAGUAGGUAGCGUGUCAGUCUCGCAAGCUGAAGAUCCCAGUUCGAUCCUUGGAAGAAGGG